UUUCCCCUGCCAUGCUCGUGAUUGGAAGAUGUUCUUUGUCCCAACACUAUUUUAAAAUGGGGGUCUUCACUGGUUUUGGUGUGCAGGUUCUGCUCGUACAGAAAAGCCUAAAGAAGCUAUAAGACGCCCACUAUUGAGCUUUGGCUCAAAGACCUGACAACACGACAUUUUGGCGGGGGGCCA
rnacentral:other from 1 species